GCCUCAUGGAGACUAUGAAACAGCCCUUCCUGCCAGGGGAGGUGAAGACCCUGAUGAUCCAGCUGCUGCGGGGGGUGAAGCACCUGCACGACAACUGGAUCCUGCACCGUGACCUCAAGACGUCCAACCUGCUGCUGAGCCACGCCGGCAUCCUCAAGCCUCCCACAGCUUCGCGGGCCCUGGCCCUCCUGAACGCCUCUCCUGGCCUCUUAGGAAUACUCCACAGCUGUGGACAUGUGGUCAGUGGGCUGCAUCUUCGGGGAGCUGCUGACUCAGAAGCCUCUGU
rnacentral:sRNA from 1 species